CGGGCACAGUACAGUCCCUUCCCUUCCCAUUAACCCUCAACCAGAUACGUUUCCCUUCCACAAUCGUAACUGGAGCGACAAGUUUUCACUUCAUCAAACUGUAGAUACUAAAGGAAGGUUUCAGAACCAGUAAGAUGGGCGGAGGUGGAGCAGCGACGGCGGUUGCGGAGGCACAGUACUCGGUGGUCAAGACUUCGGUUUGGUGGGACAUAGAGAACUGUCAAGUGCCCAAAGGGUGCGAUCCCCACGCCAUCGCCCAAAUAUAAGCUCCGCUCUCGUUCGGAUGAAUUAUUGCGGCCCCGUUUCCAUCUCUGCUUACGGCGAUACCACUGGCAUCACUGCCUCCGUUCAGCAUGCCCUCUCCAGCACCGGCAUCUCCCUCAAUCAUGUCCCCGCCGGUGUUAAAGAUGCAAGUGACAAAAAGAUUCUUGUUGACAUGCUAUUCUGGGCUGUGGACAAUCCUGCACCUGCUAAUUACUUAUUAACUAUCUGGUGAUAGAGACUUUUCCCAAUGCUCUUCAUCAACUGCGGUUGAGAGGGUAUAUAUAUUCUUCUUGCACAGCCUAAGAAAGCUUCUGCCCCCUAGUAGCAGCUGCCAAGAGUGGUGUGCUUUGGACUAGUCUCUUGGCUGGGGGACCUCCCUUACGAAGGGUGAAUCACUACAACUUGGUAAUAAUGACAUCCAAUCCUCUUCUGACUCCGUACAAAGUCCAGUUCCAUAAUGCCUUCUAUACCGCAGUAUCUGGAAUCCUAUUCAGAAGUUCAUACAGGAAAUCAGAAAUUUCCUGGUACAGCAAGGCAACUUGAUUCUAGACAUCAUGGGAAGACAAAUGGGAGAAAGUCAAAUAAAUCAAAUGGACCCAAGGUCAAGAAUCCAGCUCCCAGUUGGACUUCAAGAAAAUGAUGGCAAUAUAAAUUCUCCUCCACCUGGCAAUUAUACCCAUAAUGUUCCCCCAAGUGGUUCUACACCAAAUAAUGGUAAUCUACAAGACAAUCAUCAAAAUCCACAUUCACAACCAAUAAGAUCAAAUAUUUUUCCUUUGGAGCCUCCUUUUUCACCAAGCAAUUCAUUUUCUCUAAAUUCCAUAAGUUUUGGAACUUCAGUAGUGCCGGCUUUGGACUGGUGGGCCCAGCUUCUCUGCAGCACCACUUACGAAGGUACCAGAUACUGGUAAUAUUUCUGGAUAUCUUAGUAAUGGUCACGAUCCGCACCCUGUUAAUCAAUUGAACGGGGACUUGGAACGGAGUUCUUGCAGUAAUUCUCGAAAUCCUGUUAAAUCUAUUGAUGAAGCAGAUGGGCACAUGAUACAGAACGCACGAAAUUUGUAUACUGGCUAUGCACAUGGGCCAGAACACCGAACUUCAUCAUCAGCGACCGUGGGUAAUAAUAAUCUUCCAGGUAUGGUAUGUGGGGAUCUCCAGAAUCUCCUAAUCUUCUGACACGUCCAAGAUCUUAUAGGGGUUGUUUUACUUGCCUUGAACACACUGAAAACUGAAAAAAUUAAGCCAACUGAGUCAAAUAUAACAGAUUGUAUUCGAUUUGGAGAUCCCAAGCAUCGCAAUACAGAUGUCAAGAAGGCUCUGGAGAUUGCUGUUGAGCAGCAGAUGGUAGUGAAGCAGAAUGUAGGUGCUUUGGAAUUGUUUGUUGGUAAGAAUGAUCAAGUUUGGAAGUUUGUAUGCACUCUGGGUGGUAAUCCUAAGAAGCACUCAAAAGAGACAUGGAACAAAAUAAAAAAAUUUCUAGCUACUUCUCCUGGAAGAUUGGCAAUAAUGAAUACUCAGUGGAAGUACGAAGCAGGUAUUGUGAUUAAGAAUAUGUGCUUGAAAGAUCAUGCUUUGGGUGAUGUCCUACAGAUUUUGAGUUUAGCGAUUUCCUAUAAAAAAUGGAUUGUGCAUCAACAUUUGGGCUGGCAACAGUUAACAUCACCCUUGCAGAGAAAUGUGAUUCAGAGGUCAUAGCAUGCAAAUAACUCCAGAAGGACAUCAGAAGUUAUCUGGAUAAACCUCUCUUUCUACUGCUAACAAAGGUAGUUAGUAAUAAAGAGCUGUGGUAACAAGUACCUUGAAUGCUAUAGCUAACAGAUAUGAUACUGGUAAGUUCUUCCGUUCUGUUGAAGGGGCAAAGGAAAUUACCUUUUGGACAAGAAAUGAAACCUGAAACUUUAAACAUACAAACCAAUAAAGCUCUUCUGGUUUGCUGCUGAGGUUACAAAUUCUCAGCCACUGGUUUCUUAUACAUCGCAUUGGAUCUAUCUGGUAACGAUAUGCCCGCCUCAAAGCUUUGGCUUCUACUUAUGAACGAAUCACUACAUGGAGUUUUUGAAAAUGAUCGAUGACGUGGAACCAAAAUGCUUUCAAUAUCACUUGCGCAAAUGGUGCUUGUAGAGUUGUGAUUUUUAAUGUUCAUGCUUUACUUGGAGUUGGCUUUUGGCAUAUUUCUCAAAUCAUAACUGGGAAUUUGGGCCAUUCAGUUGGGAUAGGUGUAUGCUCCUUCUGCCUUUCAUUUGUGUGUAAACACAGUAUACCAUAUCGUUGAUGAAGCCUAAUUAUUAUAAACUUUUUUUCUUUUAAGUUAGUCCUGAUAUUAGCAUCAAAAUCCCAUUAAGUUUGUUCUAUUCCAAUACAAAUAUUUUGUUUGUGUUCCAAUAUUUUCACGUAGCACUUGAGUGAAUGUUUGAUGCCCUA